rnacentral:rRNA from 1 species
UACGUAGGUGACAAGCGUUGUCCGGAUUUACUGGGCGUAAAGAGCGCGCAGGCGGUCGUUCAAGUCGAGUGUGAAAGCCCCCGGCUCAACUGGGGAGGGUCAUUCGAUACUGAUCGACUCGAAGGCAGGAGAGGGUAGUGGAAUUCCCGGUGUAGUGGUGAAAUGCGUAGAUAUCGGGAGGAACACCAGUGGCGAAGGCGGCCCCCUGGACCGGUACUGACGCUGAGGCGCGAAAGCGUGGGUAGCAAACGGG